AAUUUUUUUUUUAAUAAUGUAAACUACACAUAUGUUUUACGGAAUAUUUCACAUCACAGAAAAAUGGAUAAGUACCAAUUUAUCAUUGCGGAAUUUCAUGACGGGUUACAAGUUAUACCCUCAGAAUGGUGCAAUGCCGAUAAAUUAUCAUGUAUAUGGCCUAAUCAUAUGAAAACUAAAUAUCGCAUUAACAAGGCCAUAUUGGCAAGAGAGAUGCCUCGAGAAAAAUCUGAUUGGGAAGAGUUACCAAUAAAAAGAAUUUUUGGUGGAGCAAAUACUUAUGAAGAAAGUUUACAAAAAUUAAGUCUAGCGCAAGACACGUCAAAUAUAGAUGACACUGGGAUGUCUUCAAAUGAUUUAAGAGAACAAAAUAAAAAGCAAAGACGUAUAAAAGCAAAGAAAAAAAUAUUAUCAUCUUCUUUAGAAGAAGAUAUCUAUUUAAAAAAUAAAGAAAAUAAAAUAAAUAUAAUACAACAUAAAAUCUCCUUUUCCUGACAGAGGCAAUUUUGUUAAUAAAGUAAUUGAGCCUAUACAAAACAUUACAAAUAUUUUACGUGAAAAAAAUAUUAUUAUUCCUACAAACAGUAAUGAUAGAAAUAACAAGCAAAUUGCUACGAAUAAUAUAAAGAUUCUUUAAGAUUCUUCUGAAAAUACUGAGAAAGAUUUGUCUGCUUAUGAGUUCAAGAAACAGAUUAUAGGAAAAUUGAACAAAAUAUUAUAUAAAUUAGACGGUAUAGAAAUCAAAAUUAAUAUGCUAGAGGAGAAAAUGCAAUUUUCCUGUCAUUCUUAUGAUGGUCAAGAUGAAUGUGAUAUUCAUUUCCCGAUUUCUACACUUACUGAAUUAAUAUCCUUUGAAGAUCAAUUACAGGAAAUCGAAUUUAAAGAUAAAGUUCUUAAUGUUUUAAAACUUGUUGGUGGAGUUGAUGGACAUGCCAUGAUACGAAAUAUUAUGAAAAAAGUAAUAACAGACACUUUAGCUCAAAAUUUCAACUGGACAGGAAAAAAAAAUAAGCGUAGCUUCAAAGAUUUAAAUCUUUCUAAAAUGAUUAUACAAUACACAUCUAAAUGGCUGUCUCAAGCUACUGUAAGAGUUCAAAGAGAUGAAAAGAAACAUAUUCAGGAAGAAAAAUAAAAACUAGAAGAACAGGAAGAACUAAAAAACAGGAAGAAAAAAAUUAGAAGAGAAC